GGCUGAAAGCAACAUGAACGAUCUAGUUUCUGAGUACCAACAAUAUCAAGAUGCAUCAGCUGAGGAGGAAGGUUAUGACUACGAAGAUGAAGAAGGUCAAGAAGCUUAAGUAAUGCAGCUGGUGAGAAUUUUGUCCAUCCCACUGUUUAUUCUUUUAAAUGUUGUUUUAGGGUUUGGAUAUUUGUUUUGCGUGUGAGAUAGUCGUGGGACAGUUUGCACAAGCCCAUGUAGUUAUACUUGGUGUUGCAUCACAUACCUAUCACUGUAAUCUAGCUCAUUGAAUUCUAUUAGUACCAAUAUUUUGUGACAAGGGAAUUGUGGCUCGCUUCAAAAACAAUUAUCUGAAUGUGUGUGAAUAUG
rnacentral:misc_RNA from 1 species